GAGAGGUUAUAUGGAGUAAUAGGAGGAGUUAUAGGGAGAGGUUAUAUGGAGUAAUAGGAGGAGUUAUAGCGAGAGGUUAUAUGGAGUAAUAGGAGGAGUUAUAUGGAGAGGAUAUAUGGAGUAAUAGGAGGAGUUAUAGCGAGAGGUUAUAUGGAGUAAUAGGAGGAGUUAUAUGGAGAGGUUAUAUGGAGUAAUAGGAGGAGUUAUAGGGAGAGGUUAUAUGUAGUAAUAGGAGGAGUUAUAGGGAGAGGUUAUAUGGAUUAAUAGGAGGAGUUAUAGGGAGAGGUUAUAUGGAGUAAUAGGAGGAGUUAUAGAGAGAGGUUAUAUGGAGUAAUAGGAGGAGUUAUAGAGAGAGAGGUUAUAUGGAGUAAUAGGAGGAGUUAUAGGGAUAGGUUAUAUGGGGUAACAGGAGGAGUUAUAGGGAGAGGUUAUAUGGAGUAAUAGGAGGAGUUAUAGGGAGAGGUUAUAUGGAGUAAUAGGAGGAGUUAUAGGGAGAGGUUAUAUGGAGUAAUAGGAGGAGUUAUAGGGAGAGGUUAUAGUAAUAGGAGGAGUUAUAGAGAGAGGUUAUAUGGAGUAAUAGGAGGAGUUAUAGGGAGAGGUUAUAUGGAGUAAUAGGAGGAGUUAUAGGUAGAGGUUAUAUGGAGUAAUAGGAGGAGUUAUAGGGAGAGGUUAUAUGGAGUAAUAGGAGGAGUUAUAGGGAGAGGUUAUCUGGAGUAAUAGGUGUAGUUAUAAAGAGAGGUUAUAUGGAGUAAUAGGAGGAGUUAUAGAAAGAUUAUAUGGAGUAAUAGGAGGAGUUAUAGAGAGAGGUUAUAUGGAGUAAUAGGAGGAGUUAUAGGGAGAGGUUAUAUGGAGUAAUAGCAGGAGUUAUAGGGAGAGGUUAUAUGGAGUAAUAGGAGGAGUUAUAGGGAGAGGUUAUAUGGAGUAAUAGGAGG